CUAUGCGCCUUGCCAGCCCGCUCAGGUGUGCCAGCCGCGCGGUAAUACGUAGUGGCAAGCGUUAUCCGGAUUUACUGGGUGUAAAGGGCGUGUAGCCGGGCUGACAAGUCAGAUGUGAAAUCCGGGGGCUCAACCCCCGAACUGCAUUUGAAACUGUUGGUCUUGAGUAUCGGAGAGGCAGGCGGAAUUCCUAGUGUAGCGGUGAAAUGCGUAGAUAUUAGGAGGAACACCAGUGGCGAAGGCGGCCUGCUGGACGACAACUGACGGUGAGGCGCGAAAGCGUGGGAGCAAACAGG
rnacentral:rRNA from 1 species